rnacentral:rRNA from 1 species
UCGCAGCAACCAGAAGAGGAAGAUAGGCUCAGCAUGCUGAUGGAUGACAUUUUACUCUCCAUCUUGGGGAGAGUCGAUCUAAGAACAGCUGCAAGCAUGAGCGUGUUGUCUACACGGUGGAGGUGCCUUCCUUGGUUGCUGCCUGAGCUCAACAUUGAUGUCAAAGAUUUCUUACCAAUGCCACGCCCCAACCCUAUUGAGGCGAUGGAUAUGGACAAAGCAAUGGUCUCUCUAACCAAGGGGAGUAGGAGUUUCUUGGUUAACCGACAUGACGAAUCCAGCAUCUCAACUCUGCACCUUAAGAUCUACCUGAUGAACGCUUCCUUGUGCGAAGCUGGCCCACUAAUAGGUGAUGCAGUGGGGGGUGGUUUGGUGAAAGAUUUGGACCUUGCCAUUCUUUACAACAGAGAUAUCUGGUCUUGUAGUGAGGAGGGUAUGCUACAGCGAGGCCAACCAAUAGAUGAUUUUUUCAGUGCCUAUCCUAUUGUGCUCCAUUGCCUGACAAGGCUUUCUCUAUACACUGUACGCUUUGAGAAAUUGGACAUGCACCAUGUCUUGUUUGACUGCUGCAAGCAACUGAAGCAUCUAGCCCUUUAUCAUUGUGAUAUUGGCGCUCACUCUCUAUUUAAGAUUGAUGCACCCAAUUCAAAGCUCCUUGUUCUAGAACUCACCUAUUGUCGUUUUGAGACACUUGAGUUGGUCUGCCUUCCAAAAUUGGAGAAGCUCAGAUGUAACACUUGGUUAGCUCGCCAUGCUCCUUUGGCCUUUGAUUUUGUCCCGUCUCUCCAGGAACUAGAACUCUCAUGCGAUGCAAUACAUGGUCAAAGUGAAUUUAAAUUAAGUGAGCUUCUAGAUGGAACGACUUGCAUACAUACUCUCACAUUGGGUUUCAAAGGAGAAAACCUUUGGAUGCGACCUGAAAUGAGGCAACUCCUCCCCGCUUUUUGUAAGCUAAGGAAGCUAUCCGUGCGUGGUAUAUUUGUUGAAUUCGACCUUUUAUGGACGACAGCAUUUCUUUUGGCGGCACCAUGCAUUGAAAUAUUGCAUAUUGAGGUCUGGGAACAUAUAUGUGGUGUGGCUGAUAAGUCCAGACAGCUGCACACCGAAAGAAGGAGCCCUCAGUGGGAAAUGCACUUUGACGGCCCUAAGAACAGGUUCUUGAAAGAACUAGAAUUUGCUGGCUUUAGGUCACUAGAACAACAAUUUACAUUUAUAAGAUCCAUGCUGGAGCGAGCUCCAAAUUUGCAGAUGAUAACUCUGAAAGGAGAUGUGGUCAGUACUGCGAUGCUCUUGAUACACCUCGUCCUGUAA